CAGAGGGGGCAAGCGUUGCUCGGAAUCACUGGGCGUAAAGGGCGCGUAGGCGGGAUGGCAAGUCGGUCGUGAAAUCCCUGGGCUCAACUCAGGGGGGUCGGCCGAUACUGCCGUUCUUGAGGGAUGCAGAGGAGACUGGAAUUCCCGGUGUAGCGGUGAAAUGUGUAGAGAUCGGGAGGAACACCGGUGGCGAAGGCGGGUCUCUGGGCAUUCCCUGACGCUGAGGCGCGAAAGCGUGGGGAGCAAACGGGAUUAGAUACCCCGGUAGUCCACGCGGUAAACGAUGACGACUAGGUGUGGGGGGGUUAAGUCCCCUCCGUGCCGCAGCUAACGCAUUAAGUCGUCCGCCUGGGGAGUACGGCCGCAAGGUUG
rnacentral:rRNA from 1 species